ensembl:lncRNA
ACACACACACACACACACACACAGAUAGGGAGGUAGAGACAGACACACACACACACACACACACACAGAUAGGGAGGUAGAGACAGACACACACACACACACACACACAGAUAGGGAGGUAGAGACAGACACACACACACACAGAUUGGGAGGUAGAGACAGAGACACACACACACACACAGAUAGGGAGGUAGAGACACACACACACACACACACAGAUAGGGAGGUAGAGACAGACACACACACACACACACACACACACACAGAUAGGGAGGUAGAGACAGAC